rnacentral:rRNA from 1 species
UACGAAGGGUGCAAGCGUUAAUCGGAAUUACUGGGCGUAAAGCGUGCGUAGGCGGUUUGUUAAGACAGGUGUGAAAUCCCCGGGCUUAACCUGGGAACUGCAUUUUUAACUGCCAAGCUAGAGUAUGUCAGAGGGGGGUAGAAUUCCACGUGUAGCAGUGAAAUGCGUAGAGAUGUGGAGGAAUACCGAUGGCGAAGGCAGCCCCCUGGGAUAAUACUGACGCUCAUGCACGAAAGCGUGGGGAGCAAACAGG